AUUUCUUUGAAGUGAAUCCCCUGGCCCUUCCGAAUCCGCACCAGAAUACUUCUAUUAUGGGAUUCAGGAAUCCAUAACAGAGAUGAUCAACGGAUGAUGUUGAUUUUAUAAAACCAUUAUAAUAAUUUGUUGCACACUGCAGCCCAGACUCCUACACAAGACAAGUACAGAAGAUUAAAAGGAUGCCCACUGGAGGGUCAAGCAUUGAUGUUCACUAUAAAUCAGUAAACACUGCCAACGCUUUCACUGAUCUUGAGGAGGUACCAUGUGAAAAUUUAGGAGAUACGGAACAAAAUUCACUGAAACAGCCAGAUUUAACUCCUAAAAGACUACUUUGGGUGUCAGUUGUAGUUACUGUGCUCUUUGUUUCACCAGUUGGAUUGAUUGCCAUUUUCUGCAGUAUUGUGGCUAUUCGUGCCCAAACCAGUUGGCCUAAAACAUCUAUUGCAUUUACUGCCUGUGCAUAUAUACUCAGUCUUCUGUCCAUCUUCGAAAGUAUUGGAUUGUUGGUGUUCCUUCUAGUGAAGUUGCUCUGAUACUGAUUUACUGUCAUUGUAAUUCGUAUAAUAAUGCUAGCUAGUAGUAAUCUGUGGAGUACCAUUUUUGUCAAUUUUUAUAGUUCUUCUGUGUUUAUAAAACAGUUUAUGUUUAUUAUAUACAUGUAACAACAGUUGAUGUUUUAUCAGGCUAUAAUAAUUCGUUAUGG